rnacentral:tRNA from 1 species
GUUUUAAUAAUUUAAAUAAAAUAUUGAUUUUGUAAAUCAACAUUGGUAAAUAACCUUAAAACA